rnacentral:lncRNA from 1 species
UGGGCAGAUUGUUAUUUUCGAUGCAAGGCCCAAUAGCCUUGAGUAAAAACCAAUGCACUUCUUCAGAUUCAGUUAUAUGGUAAAACAUAAAAUAUACACGUCAAUUUUUGUAUGCCAAGACAUAAAGCCUGGUAAUCCACGUCAAAUUUUACUACCUUCUAAUCCUGCCAACUAGGACAGCAGGUUGGGGGCCACAAGUAUGGUGUUUGGAUUGUCUGGCUUUGAAGGUUUGACCAAUGAGGACAUUGGUACUACAUAGCAUUACUCAAAAAGUGAAUUGCAUUUUACAGCUAAAACCAAAUGUUCAAAACAAGAACCGCAGUGGAUUAUGUAAUAAAAAGUAAAUGUUGAACAAAGAACUAAUUGCCUGCACAACUUGUCAUUCCACACCAUGGACUCUAUACACAUCAAAACUGAAGUCCGGCAUGCAGGAAAUGAGGGUAAUGGAUAUAUUUAUGACCACAACUUUCUGCGAAGUCGAGCAACUGUUAGAUCUGCACCACCAAAUCCAUCCAUUAUGGCAGUCGCUGAAGGAAACUCAGCUCUAGAUGUCGAACUUCAGGAUCCACCACAACAAAAGAGGAAAAGAAAAGGUUGAUCAGGAUAUUGCAAUGGAAAAACACAAUGAGUUAUGAUGUCAAGGAUGAAGUAAAUCUUGAAAGACA